rnacentral:rRNA from 1 species
AACUUGCUUCCUGAGCUGACGACAGCCGCAGAAACCAGGCCGCUGCAACUGUUUAUUAAAAACAUAGCACUCUGCAAACACGAAAGUGGACGUAUAGGGUGUGAUGCCUGCCCGGUGCUGGAAGGUUAAUUGAUGGGGUUAGCGUAAGCGAAGCUCUUGAUCGAAGCCCCAGUAAACGGCGGCCGUAACUAUAACGGUCCUAAGGUAGCGAAAUUCCUUGUCGGGUAAGUUCCGACCUGCACGAAUGGCAUAAUGAUGGCGGCGCUGUCUCCAGCAGAGGCUCAGUGAAAUCGAAAUCGCUGUGAAGAUGCAGUGUACCCGCGGCUAGACGGAAAGACCCCGUGAACCUUUACUGCAGCUUGACACUGAACUUUGACCUUACUUGUGUAGGAUAGGUGGGAGGCUUUGAAGUUGGAACGCUAGUUCCAAUGGAGCCGUCCUUGAAAUACCACCCUGGUAAUGUUGAGGUUCUAACUCUGUCCCGUUAUCCGGGACGAGGACCGUGUCUGGUGGGUAGUUUGACUGGGGCGGUCUCCUCCUAAAGAGUAACGGAGGAGUACGAAGGUGCGCUCAGCGUGGUCGGAAAUCACGCGUAGAGUAUAAAGGCAAAAGCGCGCUUAACUGCGAGACCCACAAGUCGAGCAGGUACGAAAGUAGGUCUUAGUGAUCCGGUGGUUCUGUAUGGAAGGGCCAUCGCUCAACGGAUAAAAGGUACUCUGGGGAUAACAGGCUGAUACCGCCCAAGAGUUCAUAUCGACGGCGGUGUUUGGCACCUCGAUGUCGGCUCAUCUCAUCCUGGGGCUGAAGCAGGUCCCAAGGGUAUGGCUGUUCGCCAUUUAAAGAGGUACGCGAGCUGGGUUUAGAACGUCGUGAGACAGUUCGGUCCCUAUCUACCGUGGGCGCUGGAAAUUUGAGAGGAUCUGCUCCUAGUACGAGAGGACCAGAGUGGACGAACCUCUGGUGUACCGGUUGUGACGCCAGUCGCAUCGCCGGGUAGCUAUGUUCGGAAGGGAUAACCGCUGAAAGCAUCUAAGCGGGAAGCCUACCUCAAGAUAAGAUUUCCCUAGGAAUUUAUUCCUCUAAAGAGCCGUUCGAGACUAGGACGUUGAUAGGUUGGAUGUGGAAGCAUAGUGAUAUGUGAAGCUGACCAAUACUAAUUGCUCGUGAGGCUUGACUAUACAACACCCAAGCAGUUG